rnacentral:rRNA from 1 species
AUUGAACGCUGGCGGCAUGCCUUACACAUGCAAGUCGAACGGCAGCACGGGAGCAAUCCUGGUGGCGAGUGGCGAACGGGUGAGUAAAGUAUCGGAACGUGCCCAGUCGUGGGGGAUAACGUAGCGAAAGUUACGCUAAUACCGCAUACGAUCUAUGGAUGAAAGCGGGGGAUCGCAAGACCUCGCGCGAUUGGAGCGGCCGCUAUCAGAUUAGGUAGUUGGUGGGGCAAAGGCUCACCAAGCCGACGAUCUGUAGCUGGUCUGAGAGGACGACCGGCCACACUGGGACUGCGACACGGCCCAGACUCGUACGGGAGACAGCAGUGGGGAAUUUUGGACAAUGGGCGAAAGCCUGAUCCAGCCAUGCCGCGUGCAGGAUGAAGGCCUGCGGGUUGUAAACUGCUUUUGUACGGAACGAAAAGGUUUGGGCUAAUAAGCUGAGCUCAUGACGGUACCGUAAGAAUAAGCACCGGCUAACUACGUGCCAGCCGCCGCCGUAA